GAUGAACGCUAGCUACAGGCUUAACACAUGCAAGUCGAGGGGCAGCGAGAAGAAAGCUUGCUUUCUUUGUCGGCGACCGGCGCAUGGGUGAGUAACGCGUAUCCAACCUUCCCCUUAGUAGAGGAUAGCCCGGCGAAAGUCGGAUUAAUACUCUAUGUUAUUCGUUGAGGACAUCUGAAAUGAAUCAAAGGUUUACCGCUAAGGGAUGGGGAUGCGUCUGAUUAGGUUGUUGGCGGUGUAACGGCC
rnacentral:rRNA from 1 species